rnacentral:rRNA from 1 species
GACGAACGCUGGCGGCGUGCUUAACACAUGCCAGUCGAACGGAAAGGCCCUGCUUUUGUGGGGUGCUCGAGUGGCGAACGGGUGAGUAACACGUGAGUAACCUGCCCUUGACUUUGGGAUAUCUUCAGGAAACUGGGGCUAAUACCGGAUAGGAGCUCCUGCUGCAUGGUGGGGGUUGGAAAGUUUCGGCGGUUGGGGCUGGACUCGCGGCUUAUCCGCUUGUUGGUGGGGUAGUGGCUUACCAAGGCUUUGACGGGUAGCCGGCCUGGGAGGGGGACCGGGCCACAUGGGGCUAGGGGAAGGGGCAGGAGCCCUACGGGGGGAAGGGGGGGAAAAAUUGGCAAAAGGGGGGGAGUCAGGGUGGAGCAACGCCGGGUGGGGAAGCACGGCUUUGGGGUGGGAACCGCUUUUUGCGUGUGAGGAAGGGUGGUGACGGUAAAUGGUCAAAAAGCCACGGCUAACUAAGUG